rnacentral:misc_RNA from 1 species
GAACUGCGAUAAGUAAUGUGAAUUGCAGAAUUCAGUGAAUCAUCGAGUCUUUGAACGCACAUUGCGCCCCCUGGCAUUCCGGGGGGCAUGCCUGUCCGAGCGUCAUUGCUGCCCUUCAAGCCCGGCUUGUGUGUUGGGUCGUCGUCCCCCCCGGGGGACAGACCCGAAAGGCAGCGGCGGCACCGUGUCCGGUCCUCGAGCGUAUGGGGCUUUGUCACCCGCUCGAUUAGGACCGGCCGGGCGCCCGCCGGCGUCAAACCCCAAUCUUUCUAAGGUUGACCUCGGAUCAGGUAGGGAUACCCGCUGAACUUAAGC